rnacentral:rRNA from 1 species
UUAAGCGACUAAGCGUACACGGUGGAUGCCCUGGCAGUCAGAGGCGAUGAAGGACGUGCUAAUCUGCGAAAAGCGUCGGUAAGGUGAUAUGAACCGUUAUAACCGGCGAUGUCCGAAUGGGGAAACCCAGUGCAAUUCGUUGCACUAUCGUUAACUGAAUACAUAGGUUAACGAGGCGAACCGGGGGAACUGAAACAUCUAAGUACCCCGAGGAAAAGAAAUCAACCGAGAUUCCCCCAGUAGCGGCGAGCGAACGGGGAGCAGCCCAGAGUCUGAAUCAGCUUGUGUGUUAGUGGAACGGUCUGGAAAGUCCGACGGUACAGGGUGAUAGUCCCGUACACCAAAAUGCACAGGCUGUGAACUCGAAGAGUAGGGCGGGACACGUGGUAUCCUGUCUGAAUAUGGGGGGACCAUCCUCCAAGGCUAAAUACUCCUGACUGACCGAUAGUGAACCAGUACCGUGAGGGAAAGGCGAAAAGAACCCCGGCGAGGGGAGUGAAAAAGAACCUGAAACCGUGUACGUACAAGCAGUGGGAGCACCUUCGGGUGUGACUGCGUACCUUUUGUAUAAUGGGUCAGCGACUUAUAUUCUGUAGCAAGGUUAACCGUAUAGGGGAGCCGCAGGGAAACCGAGUCUUAACUGGGCGUUAAGUUGCAGGGUAUAGACCCGAAACCCGGUGAUCUAGCCAUGGGCAGGUUGAAGGUUGGGUAACACUAACUGGAGGACCGAACCGACUAAUGUUGAAAAAUUAGCGGAUGACUUGUGGCUGGGGGUGAAAGGCCAAUCAAACCGGGAGAUAGCUGGUUCUCCCCGAAAGCUAUUUAGGUAGCGCCUCGUGAACUCAUCUUCGGGGGUAGAGCACUGUUUCGGCUAGGGGGUCAUCCCGACUUACCAACCCGAUGCAAACUACGAAUACCGAAGAAUGUUAUCACGGGAGACACACGGCGGGUGCUAACGUCCGUCGUGAAGAGGGAAACAACCCAGACCGCCAGCUAAGGUCCCAAAGUCAUGGUUAAGUGGGAAACGAUGUGGGAAGGCACAGACAGCCAGGAUGUUGGCUUAGAAGCAGCCAUCAUUUAAAGAAAGCGUAAUAGCUCACUGGUCGAGUCGGCCUGCGCGGAAGAUGUAACGGGGCUAAACCAUGCACCGAAGCUGCGGCAGCGACACUAUGUGUUGUUGGGUAGGGGAGCGUUCUGUAAGCCUGCGAAGGUGACCUGUGAGGGUUGCUGGAGGUAUCAGAAGUGCGAAUGCUGACAUAAGUAACGAUAAAGCGGGUGAAAAGCCCGCUCGCCGGAAGACCAAGGGUUCCUGUCCAACGUUAAUCGGGGCAGGGUGAGUCGACCCCUAAGGCGAGGCCGAAAGGCGUAGUCGAUGGGAAACAGGUUAAUAUUCCUGUACUUGGUGUUACUGCGAAGGGGGGACGGAGAAGGCUAUGUUAGCCGGGCGACGGUUGUCCCGGUUUAAGCAUGUAGGCUGAUUAUCCAGGCAAAUCCGGAUAAUCAAGGCUGAGGUGUGAUGACGAGGCACUACGGUGCUGAAGUAACAAAUGCCCUGCUUCCAGGAAAAGCCUCUAAGCAUCAGGUAACAUCAAAUCGUACCCCAAACCGACACAGGUGGUCAGGUAGAGAAUACCAAGGCGCUUGAGAGAACUCGGGUGAAGGAACUAGGCAAAAUGGUGCCGUAACUUCGGGAGAAGGCACGCUGGUGUGUAGGUGAAGUCCCUGCGGAUGGAGCUGAGACCAGUCGAAGAUACCAGCUGGCUGCAACUGUUUAUUAAAAACACAGCACUGUGCAAACACGAAAGUGGACGUAUACGGUGUGACGCCUGCCCGGUGCCGGAAGGUUAAUUGAUGGGGUUAUCCGUAAGGAGAAGCUCUUGAUCGAAGCCCCGGUAAACGGCGGCCGUAACUAUAACGGUCCUAAGGUAGCGAAAUUCCUUGUCGGGUAAGUUCCGACCUGCACGAAUGGCGUAAUGAUGGCCAGGCUGUCUCCACCCGAGACUCAGUGAAAUUGAACUCGCUGUGAAGAUGCAGUGUACCCGCGGCAAGACGGAAAGACCCCGUGAACCUUUACUAUAGCUUGACACUGAACAUUGAGCCUUGAUGUGUAGGAUAGGUGGGAGGCUUUGAAGCGUGGACGCCAGUCUGCGUGGAGCCAACCUUGAAAUACCACCCUUUAAUGUUUGAUGUUCUAACGUUGGCCCCUGACCGGGGUUGCGGACAGUGUCUGGUGGGUAGUUUGACUGGGGCGGUCUCCUCCUAAAGCGUAACGGAGGAGCACGAAGGUUAGCUAAUCCUGGUCGGACAUCAGGAGGUUAGUGCAAUGGCAUAAGCUAGCUUGACUGCGAGCGUGACGGCGCGAGCAGGUGCGAAAGCAGGUCAUAGUGAUCCGGUGGUUCUGAAUGGAAGGGCCAUCGCUCAACGGAUAAAAGGUACUCCGGGGAUAACAGGCUGAUACCGCCCAAGAGUUCAUAUCGACGGCGGUGUUUGGCACCUCGAUGUCGGCUCAUCACAUCCUGGGGCUGAAGUAGGUCCCAAGGGUAUGGCUGUUCGCCAUUUAAAGUGGUACGCGAGCUGGGUUUAGAACGUCGUGAGACAGUUCGGUCCCUAUCUGCCGUGGGCGCUGGAGAAUUGAGGGGGGCUGCUCCUAGUACGAGAGGACCGGAGUGGACGCAUCACUGGUGUUCGGGUUGUCAUGCCAAUGGCACUGCCCGGUAGCUAAAUGCGGAAGAGAUAAGUGCUGAAAGCAUCUAAGCACGAAACUUGCCCCGAGAUGAGUUCUCCCUGAGACUUUAAGUCUCCUGAAGGAACGUUGAAGACGACGACGUUGAUAGGCCGGGUGUGUAAGCGCAGCGAUGCGUUGAGCUAACCGGUACUAAUGAACCGUGAGGCUUAACCUU